AUUGAACGCUGGCGGCAGGCCUAAUACAUGCAAGUCGAACGGACACACGAAGAACCUUGCCCCCUUGCUGUCGAGUGGGGGGCGGGAGAGACACGUCUAUGACAUUGCUAGAUGACGGGGGUAACUUCCUGAAAACGGAGCUUAAACCCGAAUAUAGAUGCAAGCGCAAGGAUGAAGAGUUUAGGGCGGUUUUCCUUCGGCUGAUACAUGAAUCCGCGCCCCAUUAGGUAGGUGGUAAGGUAACCGCUUACCAAGUCAACAAUGCGUAUCCGACCGUGGAGGGUGAUCCGCCACACGGGAACUGAGACACGGUACAGACUCCUACGGGAGGCAGCAGUAGGGAAUCUUCCGCAAUGGGCGAAAGCCUGACGGAGCAACGCCGCGGGAGUGAUGAAGGUCUUCGGAUCGUAAAACUCUGUUAUUAGGGAAGAACAAAUGUGUAAGUAACUAUGCACGUCUUGACGUUACCUAAUGAGAAAGCCACGGCUAACUACGUG
rnacentral:rRNA from 1 species